rnacentral:rRNA from 1 species
GUGGUUAAUUCGACGCAACGCGAAAACCUUACCUGGGCUUGACAUGGAGAGAAUCUCCUGGAAACAGGAGAGUGCCUCGACAAGAGGAGCUCGUCACACAGGUGCUGCAUGGCUGUCGUCAGCUCGUGUCGUGAGAUGUUGGGUUAAGUCCCGCAACGAGCGCAACCCUUGCCAUUAGUUGCUACGAAAGGGCACUCUAAUGGGGACUGGCCGGUGAACAAACCGGAGGAAGGUGGGAUGACGUCAAGUCCUCAUGGCCCUUAUGGGUAGGGCGUUCACACGUCAUACAAUGGUACAUACAGAGGGCUGCUAAAUCGUGAGAUGGAGCCAAUCCCAAGAAAGUGUAUCGUAGUCCGGAUUGAAGUCUGCAACUCGACUUCAUGAAGUUGGAAUCGCUAGUAAUACGCGGAUCAGCAUGUCGCGGUGAAUACGUUCCCGGGUCUU